UACGUAGGGGGCAAGCGUUGUCCGGAUUUAUUGGGCGUAAAGAGCGUGUAGGCGGCCAUUCAGGUCAGCUGUGAAAACUCGAGGCUCAACCUCGAGACGUCGGUUGAAACCGUUUGGCUAGAGUCCGGAAGAGGAGAGUGGAAUUCCUGGUGUAGCGGUGAAAUGCGCAGAUAUCAGGAAGAACACCAAUGGCGAAAGCAGCUCUCUGGGACGGUACUGACGCUGAGACGCGAAAGCGUGGGGAGCGAACAGG
rnacentral:rRNA from 1 species